UACGAAGGGGGCGAGCGUUGUUCGGAAUUACUGGGCGUAAAGGGCGCGUAGGCGGCGAUCCAAGUCAGAUGUGAAAGUCCUGGGCUUAACCUGGGGACUGCAUUUGAUACUGGGUUGCUUGAAUUCGGGAGAGGAUAGCGGAAUUCCCAGUGUAGAGGUGAAAUUCGUAGAUAUUGGGAAGAACACCGGUGGCGAAGGCGGCUAUCUGGACCGACAUUGACGCUGAGGCGCGAAAGCGUGGGGAGCAAACAGG
rnacentral:rRNA from 1 species